rnacentral:rRNA from 1 species
AGCGGCGGACGGGUGAGUAACGCGUGGGUAACCUGCCUCAUACAGGGGGAUAACAGUUGGAAACGGCUGCUAAUACCGCAUAAGCGCACAGUACCGCAUGGUACGGUGUGAAAAACUCCGGUGGUAUGAGAUGGACCCGCGUCUGAUUAGGUAGUUGGUGGGGUAACGGCCUACCAAGCCGACGAUUGGUAGCCGGACUGAGAGGUUGAACGGCCACAUUGGGACUGAGACACGGCCCAG